rfam:Picea glauca, whole genome shotgun sequence.
GGGGAUGUAGCUCAAACAGUAGAGCUCUCGCUUUGCAUGCGAGAGGUACUUGGUUCGAUACCCUGCAUCUUCA